AGAACGAACGCUGGCGGCAUGCCUAACACAUGCAAGUCGAACGAGACCUUCGGGUCUAGUGGCGCACGGGUGCGUAACGCGUGGGAAUCUGCCCUUGGGUUCGGAAUAACAGUUGGAAACGACUGCUAAUACCGGAUGAUGUCUUCGGACCAAAGAUUUAUCGCCCAGGGAUGAGCCCGCGUAGGAUUAGCUUGUUGGUGAGGUAAAGGCUCACCAAGGCGACGAUCCUUAGCUGGUCUGAGAGGAUGAUCAGCCACACUGGGACUGAGACACGGCCCAGACUCCUACGGGAGGCAGCAGUGGGGAAUAUUGGACAAUGGGCGAAAGCCUGAUCCAGCAAUGCCGCGUGAGUGAUGAAGGCCUUAGGGUUGUAAAGCUCUUUUACCCGGGAUGAUAAUGACAGUACCGGGAGAAUAAGCUCCGGCUAACUCCGUGCCAGCAGCCGC
rnacentral:rRNA from 1 species